UGGGGAAUUUUGGACAAUGGGCGAAAGCCUGAUCCAGCAAUGCCGCGUGUGUGAAGAAGGCCUUCGGGUUGUAAAGCACUUUUGUCCGGAAAGAAAUCCUUGGCUCUAAUACAGUCGGGGGAUGACGGUACCGGAAGAAUAAGCACCGGCUAACUACGUGCCAGCAGCCGCGGUAAUACGUAGGGUGCAAGCGUUAAUCGGAAUUACUGGGCGUAAAGCGUGCGCAGGCGGUUUGCUAAGACCGAUGUGAAAUCCCCGGGCUCAACCUGGGAACUGCAUUGGUGACUGGCAGGCUAGAGUAUGGCAGAGGGGGGUAGAAUUCCACGUGUAGCAGUGAAAUGCGUAGAGAUGUGGAGGAAUACCGAUGGCGAAGGCAGCCCCCUGGGGCCAAUACUGACGCUCAUGCACGAAAGCGUGGGGGAGCAAACAGGAUUAGAUACCCUGGUAGUCCACGCCCUAAACGAUGUCAACUAGUUGUUGGGGAUUCAUUUCCUAGUAACGUAGCUAACGCGUGAAGUUGACCGCCUGGGGAGUACGGUCGCAAGAUUAAAACUC
rnacentral:rRNA from 1 species